CGGCAGGGCUGUCACUAAGAUUAGCAGUCGUCUCUUCAUUUACAAUCCUCCUCAUAAGCAAGUGAUUGAAAUGCACCUUUGUGAAGGGCAAGACAACAGCAACGGCUUCUUGAGCACAAAUAAAAUGUUCCUAAUUCCUUUGAGAUUUCUCGACUCUACUACUUACAUUCAGUCAUGCCAUGGGACAAAGCAGUGGCACAACAGGUGUGUCACCACCCACAGGAUGCAGACCAGCAGAUGGAGGGGGCCUGUCCAGCAGUGGUGCCAUGGGAACAGGGAGCACUGGGCAUGGGUAUAGCUGCAGCUGUUGGGGCAAUGGUGGGACCAGUUGCAUUACAUCACAAGGCGGAUGGACAAGUGUGGGGAUCUUCUCUCUGUUGCUGUGUAGAAACUUACAAAUUUUUGGAGGAAUUGCUACCCAUGUCUUUAAUGAAACAAGUAUUCACAUUUAAGAAUUAACGGUUUGAUCAAAGAGCACAUCAACGCUGCUUUGAAGAAUCUCAUCAUUCAUGCUUCAGUAAACAAACAUCCUGUGCUCAUUAUUAUUAUUAUUACUCAUCAGACCUAUUUCAGUCCAUCUGUUGUUUUUUUUUUUUUUUUUUUGUAUUGCAUAUGUUGUUUUUUUCCUCAUCACAAAGAGAGUAACCAUUGGUUUUUCAUGUAUUCAAACACAGUGACAUAUAGUGAUGUUAAUUUACAUGUGAUAUGAAAGCUUUGGUCAGAUCUUCUGCAUCUCAGUGUAGUUUCGAAUGUACAGUAAUUGCAUUAACAAGGAUCCCAGUACAAUACCAGGCGGAUUCUGGUUUAGAUAAAAUGAUUAAAAUUCUAUAUUGGCCCAAAAGAUCAAGAACCACACAUAAUUGUUGUAGCCUCAUAAAAAUGCGUAAGGCAAAGGUGACAAAAUCAGGUCUGAUGUAUAGGCAAUUGUCACAAAGCCACUCAUGAUUGUGUAUCGGAGAAGGGAAGUAAUGUAACAAACAGGAACUUUGUAUUUUAGUGAGUCAAUGUCACUUCUAUACACUAAAUGGACACCUCCUUCAUAACACCUUGUUUAGAUUGCAUUUCUUUGAGUUAGAGUACAGUACAAGAAAGACUCCCAUCUUACCUAUUUAAUGAAGACCCUGGUUAUCUGAAGAUUUGAUAUUGUCAACACUUCCCUGGCUCCAUUCUUCUAGGAAGCUAAUGACCCUGGCUGUAUCCUCUGCAGUCUCUUUCUUGUGCACGAAAGUUACCUUCUGUACAGACAACAAAGCCCAAUGCUUCACACUGGAGAAGUUGGCACUGGUUAUACUGCAUCUGGUUUAAGUGGGAAAAUCAUCCACAUGAUUUGAGUGCUUUUGUGAAUUUCAGUUAAUGGUAGGAUCAUGGGCUGUGCAGUGUGGUAAGAGUCAGUGCCAAAUAUAGAUACUAUAAAGUUUAAUUCAGUAAUUGUUGCUGGCAAAACAGUAGCCAAAACGGCAUGGAUUCUGACCACUGACUCUAUAGACCCAUUGGUUGGUUUAACCUUUAUUAUGUAUAGCUGUCUAUGGUUACUACCAGAAGCAAGAAAACCAGUUCAUUUGACUUGGCUUAAAGGGGUGCUAAUCAAGGAUUAUUACAAUAAGCGGCAUUAUCACUGGUGGUCUAAGCUCUAGUGUGUUUUAAUCUAUCUUGCAUUCAUUCAGUUUCCACAAAAGAAUGACUGGGGCGAAUCACUAGGUUUUGAAUCGUGUUGCUGAUUAGAUUUGGAGCUUGAUAUAAGGAAAGCAGUUCUAAAUUCAGCUGUUUAAUUUAGGGUUAAACAUACUUUCUUUUCCAUUAAUUGAGCUUGUUCAUGAACAGAAUACUACUUGUGUACAUCGCAAGCUGUGUUAAUUUCAAUGUAACAAUCCCCAUUCAUCAAACAUCGACAGAACUCCAUGAAAGUAUCUUAUGUGAAUUGAACCUUCUGCUUGGUCUUUCUAUUGUCCCACUCGCUACCUUUGAAACCUUUGUCUUCAUUUCCAGUGUAGUCUAAAUCUGAAGGUACCGGAGCGCCAUUAAAUAUUGAUUUUCACAAACAGGAAUUGUUACAUGAAUUCACAAUUUAUUUAUAUACUAAACUUCUAGUAACACAUAUAUGUAUUUAUCUAAUUUCUAUAUGUAUUUGCACAAAGUGUCUUUCUCCAUCUUGUCAGAAUGCUUUGCUUUACGUGCCUCGGUGUGUCAGUGGCUUCAUUUGUGUUCACAGUCGUAAGCCCCUUUCACACUGGCAUGCUCUACCCGGGUCGGAACCUACCCAGGUCUGGGCCCGGUGUCAUGCGGGUCUGCUACGUGAUUUCACACUGCUUUUGAUAAAGCAGGGUUGACCUGGGUAACAGACCCAAGCCUCUGAAGCAGCUUGCUACAGACACUUCAAUCUAAGCUUCUCGGAACUGAGUCGUCGAUUGAAUGUUGGUUAGAGCAAACGUUUCUUCAUUCCUGCUACAAUCUGGCUCAUGGUGUGUCUCAUGGAACAAAAAUAUGGCUAAACAGAAUAAACAAAAACAUUCCUU